rnacentral:rRNA from 1 species
UACGUAGGGGGCAAGCGUUGUCCGGAAUUAUUGGGCGUAAAGAGCUCGUAGGCGGUCUGUUGCGUCCGCUGUGAAAACUCGGGGCUUAACCCCGAGCCUGCAGUGGAUACGGGCAGACUAGAGGUAGGUAGGGGAGAAUGGAAUUCCCGGUGUAGCGGUGAAAUGCGCAGAUAUCGGGAGGAACACCGGUGGCGAAGGCGGUUCUCUGGGCCUUACCUGACGCUGAGUGAGCGAAAGCCAGGGGAGCAAACGGG